UGCAUUUAGCCUUAAACGUAUAAAGAAUUUUGAAUAAUAUUAAAAAUACCGCCAAAAGGUCCUGGAUAGAAUAAAGCCCCUAUGGAUAGCAGAAUCCAUACUCACGUGAAUAUAUUAAAUGAAGUUUCGAUAUAGAUGAAUUAAUCGCAGAAAUUAAAAUAAAAGUCUCAAAUAUAAGAAGGAGGUCGAUUUCAGUAUAAGCACAAUUACAGUUGUCAUUUUUCAUAGUUUGCAGAUAUGGGCUAUUCCAGUUCGGGUAUUGUUUGUGGAUAAUGUUGGGCAACAUUUGUCUUAAUGACCACAUAAACUGGCUACUCGGCACAGGACUUUGUAAAUGUUGUGACAAAUCGAAACGUGACAGAUCCUGGUCCUGGCUGAAAUUUAAAGUAUUACAACUGUAGCUUCUAUACCAUAAAUUUAACAUGGAAAGGACUGUUCUUGGGAAAAUGCUGACGUAACUGAUGGGAGCAGUUUUUCUUACCAAUCAUAGAAGCAGUAGAAGUAUUCAAACACCAUCAUGACACACUUUAGACAUACCAAGAGAGCUCUAGAAGAAGAACUAGUGGUAGAUUGGAACAGAUUGUAGCUUAAAAGGACUUCUUAAAUCGUUUGAAUUUUAGCUACACUUGAACUGUAGUUUUGAAAUAAAAUAG